AUGAAGCAAGCUGCGGAUGGGGAUGAAUUGGCAGAGUUGUAUGCAGAGAUCACGGAUAAUCAUCAAGCAACAACAAAGAUCCGGUCUGAGUUAGAUAAAAUCAAGACAGAUGUUGGAGCUAUACAGACGCAACAAGUAUAUCUCACAGAAGUUGUCAGAGGAAUGCAAUCCGCAGUUCAAGACCUUUCUCAACAACUGCAGAUCAUGUCUGAGGUGCUCAAAGCAAUGAUACCUGAACCAUCAGAUCAGCUGCCAGGAUCCCAAACACAACCUGUAGUUCAACCAUCAGCUGAGCAACAGCAACAACAAAUGCCUCCAGUGAAUCAAAGGACUGAAUCUCUUCGUCAGAAAUUAUCCAAUGAACAAGAGGGCACUUGGCAAAUUGGAUUUCUGAUGGCAUAUUUGCCUCCAGUCAGAAUUGGAAAUCGUUCUGCACCUCCAGGAUUUGGGUACCUAAUGUUGAAGUGUAAGUGGAUUGCCUAG
rnacentral:rRNA from 1 species